rnacentral:rRNA from 1 species
CACGUAGGGGGCAAGCGUUGUCCGGAUUUAUUGGGCGUAAAGCGCGCGUAGGCGGCUCGGAAAGUCGGGCGUGAAAUCCUGGGGCUCAACCCCGGGCGUGCGGUGGAUACUGCCGGGCUAGAGGGUGGUAGAGGCGAGUGGAAUCCCCGGUGUAGCGGUGAAAUGCGCAGAUAUCAGGAGGAACACCGAUGGCGAAGGCAGCUCGCUGGGACGUUACUGACGCUGAGACGCGAAAGCGUGGGGAGCAAACAGG